AAGUCGUAACAAGGUUUCCGUAGGUGAACCUGCGGAAGGAUCAUUAACACUUUUUCAUUUUAUUGAAAAUUCAUUUUUCAAUAAUUUACUUACCCACAUUUUUGGAUGAAUUAUCUCUUUUUAUUCUUUUUUAAAUUUUAAACCCAAAUACCAUAUUAUUUCUAACAUUUAUACACAAAAAGUUUAAGAAAAAACAUAAAAAACAACUCUUAACAACGGAUAUCUAGGCUCUC
rnacentral:misc_RNA from 1 species